AGUCAUGUUUAAUAGCCAAGGAUGACUUGCCUAUCUAGAACCAUUACUUGGGACUUAAGUAAGUAAGUCCCUGUUUGGUUUAUUACUAGGCAGGUGUCCUAGGCUUGUUGACCGUCUCU
rnacentral:pre_miRNA from 1 species